rnacentral:rRNA from 1 species
GACAGAGGGUGCAAACGUUGUUCGGAAUUACUGGGCGUAAAGCGAGUGUAGGCGGUUUGGUAAGUCGGGUGUGAAAGCCCCGGGCUCAACCCGGGAAGUGCACUCGAUACUGCCAGGCUAGAGUAUCGGAGAGGUUGGUGGAAUUCUCGGUGUAGAGGUGAAAUUCGUAGAUAUCGAGAGGAACACCGGUGGCGAAGGCGGCCAACUGGACGAAUACUGACGCUGAGACUCGAAAGCGUGGGGAGCAAACAGG